rnacentral:rRNA from 1 species
UACGUAGGGUGCAAGCGUUAAUCGGAAUUACUGGGCGUAAAGCGUGCGCAGGCGGUGAUGUAAGACAGGUGUGAAAUCCCCGGGCUUAACCUGGGAACUGCAUUUGUGACUGCAUCGCUGGAGUGCGGCAGAGGGGGAUGGAAUUCCGCGUGUAGCAGUGAAAUGCGUAGAUAUGCGGAGGAACACCGAUGGCGAAGGCAAUCCCCUGGGCCAAUACUGACGCUCAUGCACGAAAGCGUGGGGAGCAAACAGG